GGCAGUUCUCGGGUGAUGUACCCCGGAAUCAGGCUCCUUCCUUUCUGGUUCUGGGUGCAUCACCCAAGAACCACA
rfam:Myotis brandtii contig243622, whole genome shotgun sequence.